AGAUGUGGUUGUUUCUUUUUGUGAUGAAGGACAGGCAGGUGAGAGGACAACCGAAUGGUUCCUUGUUUCCAGGAGGUAGAUUCCAGGUGUGGAAGAGAGACUGACAACACGUGUUUCCUCCGAGGAGUUUGAGCGGGAUCCAACAGAGUGAACAUGGAGCACAGGAGUAUCAAAGUAGGACACCAAUAUCAGAGAGGAAUCCUGCAGAAGAAGAAGCAGAGACUCAGGAAGGACUUGAGAACAAAGGGUUCCAGCUCCUUAUGAUCACCUCCUGGUUAGUCCUCAUGAACCACACCUGUGGAGCUGCACCUGCCAAUCACACCCUCUGCAGGGGUGUCAAACUCCAGUCCUUGAGGGCCGGAGCCCUUGAACUUUUAGUUGGUCCAUGGUCCAACACAUACAAGCCACUGCUUUACUUCAUGAUCACUUGAAAGGAUAAAUGAUUUAAUUCAUAAUUGACUGCAAGAGUUGUCCAACACUGAUAUUAAACAUGAGGAACAAAGUUUAAA